UACGUAGGGUGCAAGCGUUAAUCGGAAUUAUUGGGCGUAAAGAGCUCGUAGGUGGCGGGUCACGUCGGGUGUGAAAGCCCGGGGCUUAACCCCGGGUCUGCAGUCGAUACGGGCUAGGCUAGAGUGUGGUAGGGGAGAUCGGAAUUCCUGGUGUAGCGGUGAAAUGCGCAGAUAUCAGGAGGAACACCGGUGGCGAAGGCGGAUCUCUGGGCCAUUACUGACGCUGAGGAGCGAAAGCGUGGGGAGCGAACAGG
rnacentral:rRNA from 1 species